rnacentral:rRNA from 1 species
AUUGAACGCUGGCGGCAGGCCUAACACAUGCAAGUCGAGCGAGCGGCGGACGGGUGAGUAAUGUAUGGGGACUGCCCGAUAGAGGGGGAUAACUACUGGAAACGGUGGCUAAUACCGCAUACUAUCGGAUAACCCAUAUGGGAUUAGCUAGUAGGUGGGGUAAAGGCUCACCUAGGCGACGAUCUCUAGCUGGUCUGAGAGGAUGAUCAGCCACACGGAGACUGAGACGCGCCAGACACUUACGCGGGGGGCCGAGUGGAAUAUUGCACAAUGGGCGCAAGCCUGAUGCAGCCAUGCCGCGUGUAUGAAGAAGGCCUUAGGGUUGUAAAGUACUUUCAGCGGGGAGGCGUUACUCGCAGAAGAAGCACCGGCUAACUCCGUGCCAGCAGCCGCGGUAAUUC